AGUGAACGCUGGCGGUAGGCCUAACACAUGCAAGUCGAACGAGUGGCGGGCGGGUGAGGAAUACAUCGGAAUCUACUCUGUCGUGGGGGAUAAAGUAGGGAAACUUACGAUAACACCGCAUCCGAUUGAAUGAGCAGAUGUGGGAUUAGCUAGUUGGGGGGGUAAAGGCCCCCAAAGGCGACGAUCCGUAGCUGGUCUGAGAGGAUGAUCAGCCACACUGGAACUGAGACACGGUCCAGACUCCUACGGGAGGCAGCAGUGGGGAAUAUUGGACAAUGGGCGCAAGCCUGAUCCAGCCAUGCCGCGUGGGUGAAGAAGGCCUUCGGGUUGUAAAGCCCUUUUGUUGGGAAAGCGGUACCCAAAGAAUAAGCACCGGCUAACUUCGUGCCAGCAGCCGCGGUAAUUC
rnacentral:rRNA from 1 species